rnacentral:rRNA from 1 species
CUCUUGAGAGCGGCGGACGGGUGAGUAAUGCCUAGGAAUCUGCCUGGUAGUGGGGGAUAACGUUCGGAAACGGACGCUAAUACCGCAUACGUCCUACGGGAGAAAGCAGGGGACCUUCGGGCCUUGCGCUAUCAGAUGAGCCUAGGUCGGAUUAGCUAGUUGGUGAGGUAAUGGCUCACCAAGGCGACGAUCCGUAACUGGUCUGAGAGGAUGAUCAGUCACACUGGAACUGAGACACGGUCCAGACUCCUACGGGAGGCAGCAGUGGGGAAUAUUGGACAAUGGGCGAAAGCCUGAUCCAGCCAUGCCGCGUGUGUGAAGAAGGUCUUCGGAUUGUAAAGCACUUUAAGUUGGGAGGAAGGGCAUUAACCUAAUACGUUAGUGUUUUGACGUUACCGACAGAAUAAGCACCGGCUAACUACGUGCCAGCAGCCGCGGUGAUACGUAGGGUGCAAGCGUUAAUCGGAAUUACUGGGCGUAAAGCGUGCGCAGGCGGUUAUAUAAGACAGAUGUGAAAUCCCCGGGCUCAACCUGGGA